rnacentral:rRNA from 1 species
CCUACGGGUGACAGCAGUGAGGAAUAUUGGUCAAUGGGCGUACGCCUGAACCAGCCAAGUCGCGUGAGGGAUGAAGGUUCUAUGGAUCGUAAACCUCUUUUAUAAGGGAAUAAAGUGUGGGACGUGUCCUGUUUUGUAUGUACCUUAUGAAUAAGGCUCGGCUAACUCCGUUCCAGCAGCCGCGGUAAUACGGAGGAUCCGAGCGUUAUCCGGAUUUAUUGGGUUUAAAGGGUGCGUAGGCGGCCUUUUAAGGCAGCGGUGAAAGUCUGUGGCUCAACCAUCGAAUUGCCGUUGAAACUGGGAGGCUUGAGUAUGUGUGAGGCAGGCGGAAUGCGUGGUGUAGCGGUGAAAUGCUUAGAUAUCACGCAGAACCCCGAUUGCGAAGGCAGCCUGCCAAGCCAUGACUGACGCUGAUGCACGAAAGCGUGGGGAUCAAACAGGAUUAGAUACCCUAGUAGUC